UUUACUUUGUUGUCAUAUUCUCUUUUGAUGACAUUAGAGAGACAGGAAAUCAAUGGGAAACUCAUGUGUCCCACCUCAACUCUGUCCAGUCCGUUUUAAUAUUCAUUAAUUUAAUUCACUGUAUUGUGGAGGAAUUUCUGCAGGAAGGUGAUGCAUUGAAGGGUUGCUGACCACAGAUAUCUGCAAGAAAA